CCUACGGGAGGCAGCAGUGGGGAAUAUUGGACAAUGGGCGCAAGCCUGAUCCAGCCAUACCGCGUGUGUGAAGAAGGCCUUUUGGUUGUAAAGCACUUUAAGCGAGGAGGAGGCUCUUGAGGAUAAUACCCUUGAUGAGUGGACGUUACUCGCAGAAUAAGCACCGGCUAACUCUGUGCCAGCAGCCGCGGUAAUACAGAGGGUGCGAGCGUUAAUCGGAAUUACUGGGCGUAAAGCGCGCGUAGGCGGCUUGUUAAGUCGGAUGUGAAAUCCCCGGGCUCAACCUGGGCACUGCAUUCGAUACUGGCAAGCUAGAGUAUGGGAGAGGAAGGUAGAAUUCCAGGUGUAGCGGUGAAAUGCGUAGAGAUCUGGAGGAAUACCGAUGGCGAAGGCAGCCUUCUGGCCUAAUACUGACGCUGAGUGNGAAGACAUGGGAGGACAACAGGAGUAGUAUACCUACGGUAGUCAUGCCGUAACGAUGUC
rnacentral:rRNA from 1 species